GAUGAACGCUGGCGGCGUGCCUAAUACAUGCAAGUCGAGCGAACAGAUGAGAAGCUUGCUUCUCUGAUGUUAGCGGCGGACGGGUGAGUAACACGUGGGUAACCUACCGAUAAGACUGGGAUAACUACGGGAAACCGGGGCUAAUACCGGAUAAUAUUUUGAACCGCAUGGUUCGAUAGUGAAAGACGGUUUCGGCUGUCACUUAUAGAUGGACCCGCGCCGUAUUAGCUAGUUGGUAAGGUAACGGCUUACCAAGGCGACGAUACGUAGCCGAGCUGGGAGGGUGAUCCGCCACACUGGAACUGAGACACGGUCCAGACUCCUACGGGAGGCAGCAGUAGGGAAUCUGCCCCAAUGAGCGAAAGCCUGGCGGAGCAACGCCGCGUGAGUGAUGAAGGUCUUCGGAUCGUAAAACUCUGUUGUUAGGGAAGAACAAAUUUGUUAGUAACUGAACAAGUCUUGACGGUACCUAACCAGAAAGCCACGGCUAACUACGUGCCAGCAGCCGCUGUAA
rnacentral:rRNA from 1 species